UCUCAGCUGGUGUAAAUGAAGGUUGCGCCAUUGGAUUCAAUGGGCCAGACCCCAACUGGCACAAAUCAGCUGUCUUUCCAUUGGCGUCAAUGGCCCAGAUCCCCAGGUCGUGAGUCAACGGGGUUAAAUUUGCUUCACGCUGGAGAAAGAACCCUGAGUACAAUUUUUCUCUGGGCUGUGAGCAGGGAGGGCCCUGUCCAGAUCUGUGGCAAUGGGAUCCAUGUGCUGUCCCGUGUGUGUGUGUGUGUUUUAGCCUUAGAAAAAAGUAAAAAGCCGCUCGACCUUGUGAUUCUUGCUGAGCUCUUGUCUCCGAAGAUGAGACAGAGCUAAGUUGCUCCUACCGAGCUGCUAAAGAGAUCUGGAGGUUAGAAAAGUACCACGUGACAGGAACCAGCCAAAGCCACAGCGGGUGGGGUAAACGCUACCGGAGGGUAUUAGCUGUUUCAUGGUGAGGGAAACAGGCUUCAAGGGGGGUCUAUAGGAGAGGACUAAAUGGUCUUGCCACAGAUUUAGUUUCUCUGGUUUGAGUCUGUGAGAGAAACUUCACCAUAAGAGAGUACUCUAUCCAGGUUCCUCUAUCGCACCCAUCAUUGUGGUGGCUGGAGCCCCUGAAGAUCUGGGAACAAUACAUUUAACCAUGAGCGCUCCAGAAAUCCUGCUUUGGAUAGCAACAGCGUUCCUCUCUUGGAGUUUCAGCCAGGGACAAGGCAGUGUCACCCAAACACAAGGGCAGCUGGAAAAGUUGGGGGGGGUCAGACUGUCACCCUGGAGUGUACUUUCUCCACUGCAAACCAGUAUUACUACUUAUUUUGGUACAGACAGCAACGAUCAGGGAGAAUGGAUUUCCUCUUCCGAAUAGAUCAGAGUAACGAUGAAAAGAAUGGAGCCGGGAGAAGAUUUUCUGCAAAAUUCAGGAAAGCCUCAAAAUUCUUCAGUUUAACCAUUAAAGAGCUAGAGCCGACGGACACGGCGAUGUAUUUCUGUGCUCUCGUGGAAGACACUGUGAGGCGUUUAAUAGGGAGACCUGUUCAAAAACCCACCCCCUUGGCUUUCUUAUCAUGAGAAACACAACUGUAGAGUAGUAUCCCCAGGCCACAGACAGAUGGUUAAACCAGGUGAUGGGGCUGGUAUAAACCACACGACCUGACACCUAUGAAGACUUAUGGGCCUCAUUCACCAUUUUAAUACCUCAGAUAAUGUCAGUUUACCCACAGUGGGUCUGCUCCCAGCUGCGGUGAAUCACUGUGGGUCAAAUGGAGUCAACUGGGCCAGGUCCACCACAGGUAUCAAUCAGCUGUAGUUCCAUUCCCCAGCAUGGGGCCAGUGGGAUAGAUACACAAAGGCACAACACACAGAAGCACGCAGACACACACACACGUGCAAACACAAACAUAGAGACAGAAAGACACCCACACCCACAAAACCAGCACACACAACACAGAGCUUUUAAGUCUUCCACUAUGUCUUUAAUUCAGUUCUCACCAAAUAGCAACAAGAAGGACAAUAAAAACGAAAAUGAAUAAGAAAAAAAGACAGAAAGUCAGAAACCGAUCUUCCAGGAAGUUCAGUGGGAGGAAUUUGUCCCAGGAGUUCUCACUAGCGCUUCAGUUGCACGUUUCCUGUGUCUGUUACGCAUUUCCCGAAGCCCUCCCUCUUCUGCUCGGCUGGUCUCGCAUUAACCUCUCCGAGUCCUUGUUCCGAGAAGUUGCCUUUAAGAUUCUUCACAGAGACCUCUCAGCUUGUCCGGCUGCCGCUGUCUGAGGCACCAUGGAGACACCUUUCAUUCUCAGCCUUUGCGUCUUUAACCAAAUGCGGUGCUGGGUGACUCGGUCCGGUCCAAUGAACCCUUGGUGUCCAGGUCAGAAGGAGACACCCUGACCCUCAGCUGUUCUUAGGAUACUAGCUACACUGCUGGUGUCUGUCUCUACUGGUACCGUCAGUAUCGGAACCGAGCCCCGCAGUACUUCCUCCUGAGAGGAGCAAAAGGGAAGAGUAGCUGCGAUACCGCAGGUUUCCCCCAGGAGAGGUUUUCUUCCCAGGUUGAUGACAGCUCCACAGUUCUGAGCAGCGCAGCCCUGGAGCUGGCAGACACGGCGGUGUAUCUCUGCGCCCUGAGUCUGGCACAGUGACAGAGCCACCCAGCAGAGCUGUACAAACCCUGCCCCCUCCGCCCAGCCCUGCUACAGGGGAAGGUACAGACAUUAAAAGGGGCAGCAGCGGCUUGAAACAGGCGGAGUCCUGGCACUGCUUAACGAUACAACUCCCCUUGACAGUUACCGGUUUAUUUAAAGAGCUAAUUUAAACAUCACCCUUGGCUAUGGGCAUGAUCUUUAAUUAGGAAACUAUUAAUGCCGCUUUUCUUAGCUUACGAGACUACCUGUAUCGGUGUAGUGUGGAGGAAAACUCAUUUGCAGUAAAAUAAGUGUUAAAGUUGAGUACAAAUGUAGGCGAAGUGAACUAUUGUUGAAAAUACAAAUUGAGAUUAAAUGCGAAUGAAAAAAAUCCCUUUUCACAUGGAUAAUAUACUGGUAAAUUGCUCAUUUAUGGUGAAAUGGGGGUAAAAUACGCGAGUUAAAAUACGGGGGAAAUAGUUAGAAAUACCCGGUUUUGAGUAGUGGGGUAAAGCUGCAGGUAGCAACUCUCCCAGAGUCACAUCAAUACUCCUGUUGUCGAGACAUUUGCAUUUUGGGUUGAUUUGUUCGGAAACUAUUUAAUUGCAAGACACUUUCCCCAAGAAUAUGUGCUGAGAGCCGAGCAGGCUAACGUGACAAAGCAUCGCCAUCAGCGGCUGGGAAAUAUAAGCUCAGGUUGUCAUUGGAAACCCUUCCACGCUCUAUAGAUUUUCCCUUUAACUCGGGCUGUCGGCAAAGGCAGCAGAGGAAAGACGAAAAUAAUUUAAAACAAUUCUUUCAAGAGUUCUGGCCGGGCGUUUCAAAGGAGGUCAACAGAGUUGGGCACUUCAUCCCGUUACAUUUUUCUUGUGAUAACCCCGGACAUUAUUGCUGGUAAUAAUGUUCAUGCCCCGUCCCAAUGAUACCCUGGUGCUUCAAGAAAUAUGAACAAUCCCUAUAUGAGUUAGAAGAAGCCCCUCUCUUUUAUGCAGCUGGGGAAACUGAGGCAUAUAGGAUUUCCCAUCGUCACACACAGAGUCUGUGGCACAGCAGGUCUCUGAGUCCCAGAGCAGACCCUUGUCCACAAACUCAUCCCUCUCCCCUUAACAACACUAAAACAUCAGCUGCAGGCUGACCUGAACCCGCUGCGUUUCCUGGAGCUCCUCCCUCUUCCUCUCCGCUGGUUUCUAAUGAAUUUCCCAGAGUUGUAGCUGCCCUUAGAGACGUGAAAUUUAUACACCUCUAAGGCAGUAGCAGUAUCUGAACAUUUGAAAUUUGAUCGCUAGAGAAGAUACUAUGGAGGCGUGUUGUAUUCUCAGCAUUUGGAUAUUCAAUCUCCUAGGUAACUGGGCUGGGAUUUCAAAUAAGCCUAAGGGAACUAGACACUCCAUUCCCAUUGCAGCAUAAACCUAACCCGAAAAUUCACCCUUACUCUUUACUGUAACCAAAACUCGAAUGAUACAACCUGACCCUCACCAUAACCCUAAACCCUUAUUCACAUCCUCUCCUUAAUCCUAACGUUAAACCCCCAACCCUUCUCCUGCUCAUGGCGUUAAUGCCUAUGGAGUUAGGCGCCUAAAUCUCUUAGACUUCUUUGAAAUUCCCUGAAACUGCAAUGCAGGUGGAAUCAUUUCCACGGCUCAACUGCAGGUUGAAUGUUGCCCUUGAAUGUGUUUGUCUUGUUGCAGGUGAUGCGCUGGGAGACUCGGCUCAAGCCAAGGAAUCCGAAGUGUCUGGAUCAGCUGGCGAAUCUGUGACAUUCAGCGGUUCUUACACUUCCAGCGAUACCUAUGUCUAUCUCUAUUGGUACCGACAGUAUCCGAACCAAGCCCCGCAGUCCAUUCUCUAUAGAGGUCCGAAGUCCCACAGUGGCCACAGCCAAACCGCUGAACAUCACAGCCCUGGAGCCGGCGGACAGAGCCCUGUAUUACUGCGCCCUGCACUGGGCACAGUGACACAGCCGCAAAGGGGAGCCGUACAAAAACCCUCCCUUCCCAGCGGCAGGUGAUGUUAGGCACAUCAUAGGCAUUUCUUUUCAGGAAUGCGCAGGAUUAAAACCAUGCCUUCCAGGGAUAUGGUGAAAAGGGCUGUGAACGCAGCUGCACGUACUCUGUAGAGUAUGAAAACUUGUUGUCAUUUGGAAUCCCUGUACUUUCUCUUCCUUUAAUGUCAAGCGAGGGGGGACAACAAUGGCUGUAGAAGAACAGGCCAACAAAGGGAAAUCAUUUCUAGAAUGUUGUCCGAAACAUUCAGAGGAGACUAAGAGAGAGUGAGAUGUCUAGCUCUCCUUGCUCCUUGGAAAAAUCUCAGAUUUCAUUCAACUGAAAAAAAAAAUCGAUGUCGUUAUAUGACCCCUCCCCAGUAACUACUGAGCACAGCAAAAUAUUUAUCCUCAUAAUCCCCCUGGGAGGUGAAAAAUAUUACAAUCUCCAUUUUACAUGUGGGGAAACCGAGGCACAGAACCGUUAACUGGCUUGUUCCAGGGCAAACAGGGAGUCGGUGGCAGAGGUGGGAACCGAAGCCAGGUGUGCCCAGUCCCAUACCAGAAACUGACUCACAUCCAUCUUCCCUGAACCACCCUCCGAUUUCAACUGCAGACUAACCUAAACACGGCUUGUUUCCUGUGUCUGUUACUAGCCCGGAAACUUCUUCCUCUUCCACUGGGCAUGUUUCUGAUUAACCGUCCCCAGUCGAAGCUGCCUUUAGGUGACAUAGAAUCAUAGAAUAACAGGGUUGGAUGAGACCUCAGGAGGUCAUCUAGUUCAACCCCCUGCUCAAAGCAGAACCAAUCCCCAAUUUUUGCCCCAGAUCCCAAAUGGCCCCCUCAAGGAUUGAACUCACAACCCUGGUUAUGAAGGUUAGAUUCAUUCUGUCGCAAGAGCAAUAUCUGGGAGGUAGAAAUUCGGUGGCUGUACAGAAGGAGACACCAUGGAGACGUGGGUUAUUCUCGGGUUUUGGAUAGUGAAUCUCCUAGGUAACUGGUCUCGAAUUUUCAGAGGAUUCUAUGGGAAUUGGGCUUGUCUACACUUACAUUUUAUAGCGCUCCAGCUCACCCCCCUGAGCGCAGCAAGUCUGAGGCGUUAAAGCGCUCUUGUGGGCAGGCUCCGAAGGCUGCUCCCAGGGCUCUGAGCUAAUCCCCUGGUGGAGGUGGAUUACCAGGAGUGCCGCGGGAGCGCUGUGAAGUUUCCAGUGUAGCCAUAACACUUCUUUGCCUAGUUUAGGAGAGGACCUGAAUCGGUGUACAGUGUGUGUGUGUGUGCGGGACGAAUAAUUUGUAGUAAAAUAAGGGUUAAAAUGUUGGGUAAAAAUAGAGACAAAAAUAGAACUACUGUUUGAAAUACAAAUGAAGACAAAA